rnacentral:rRNA from 1 species
AACGAACGCUGGCGGCAUGCCUAACACAUGCAAGUCGAACGAUACCUUCGGGUCUAGUGGCGCAUGUGAGCGUAACGCGUGGGAACCUUCCCUUAGGGGCGGAAUAACUCUCCGAAAGGGGUGCUAAUACCGGAUAAUGUCUUCGGACCAAUGAUUUAUCGCCUUUUGAUGGGCCCGCGUUGGAUUAGCUAGUUGGUAGGGUAAAAGCCUACCAAGGCGACGAUGCAUAGCUGGUCUGAGAGAAUGAUCAGCCACACUGGGACUGUGACCAGGCCCAGACUCCCACGGAUGGCAGCAGGUGGGAAUAUUGGACACUGGGCGAGAGACGGAGCCAGCAAUGCCGCGUGAGUGAGGAAGGAGUUAGGGUUGUAAAGCUCUGUUACACGCGAUGAUAAUGACAGUACCGGGAGAAUAAGCGCCGGCUAACUCCGUG